rnacentral:Y_RNA from 1 species
GGCUGGUCCAAGUGCAUGGUGUUUACAACUAAUUGAUCACAACCAGUUACAGAUUCCUUUGUUCCUUCUCUGCUCCCACUGCCUCACUUGCCCAGCCUAAA